GGAUGGUUGGAGCAUUGGACUACAACUCUGAAGACCAGGGUUUGAAUCCCUGUCCAGCCA
rnacentral:tRNA from 1 species